UACAGAGGUCUCAAGCGUUGUUCGGAUUCAUUGGGCGUAAAGGGUGCGUAGGCGGCGCGGUAAGUCGGGUGUGAAAUCUUGGAGCUUAACUCCGAAACUGCAUUCGAUACUGCCGUGCUUGAGGACUGGAGAGGAGACUGGAAUUUACGGUGUAGCGGUGAAAUGCGUAGAUAUCGUAAGGAAGACCAGUGGCGAAGGCGGGUCUCUGGGCCGAUACUGACGCUGAGGCACGAAGGCCAGGGGAGCAAACGGG
rnacentral:rRNA from 1 species